CCUACGGGUGGCAGCAGUGAGGAAUAUUGGUCAAUGGGCGAGAGCCUGAACCAGCCACGUAGCGUGAAGGAUGACUGCCCUACGGGUUGUAAACUUCUUUUAUAAAGGAAUAAAGUGAGGCACGUGAGCCUUUUUGUAUGUAUUUUAUCAAUAAGGAUCGGCUAACUACGUGCCAGCAGCCGCGGUAAUACGGAGGUUCCGGGCGUUAUCCGGAUUUAUUGGGGUUAAAGGGAGCGUAGAGGGGUUGUUAAGUCAGUUGUGAAAGUUUGCGGCUCAACCGUAGAAAUGCAAUGGAUACUGGCAGUCUGGAGUACAGUAGAGGUAGGCGGAAUUCGUGGUGUAGCGGUGAAAUGCUUAGAUAUAACGAAGAACUCCGAUUGCGAAGGCAGCUUGCUAAACUGCCACUGACAUUGAUGCCCGAAAGUGUGGGUAUCAAACAGGAUUAGAUACCCUUGUAGUC
rnacentral:rRNA from 1 species